AUUGAACGCUGGCGGCAGGCCUAACACAUGCAAGUCGAGCGGAUGAAGGGAGCUUGCUCCUGGAUUCAGCGGCGGACGGGUGAGUAAUGCCUAGGAAUCUGCCUGGUAGUGGGGGAUAACGUCCGGAAACGGGCGCUAAUACCGCAUACGUCCUGAGGGAGAAAGUGGGGGAUCUUCGGACCUCACGCUAUCAGAUGAGCCUAGGUCGGAUUAGCUAGUUGGUGGGGUAAAGGCCUACCAAGGCGACGAUCCGUAACUGGUCUGAGAGGAUGAGCAGUCACACUGGAACUGAGACACGGUCCAGACUCCUACGGGAGGCAGCAGUGGGGAAUAUUGGACAAUAGGCGAAAGCCUGAUCCAGCCAUGCCGCGUGUGUGAAGAAGGUCUUCGGAUUGUAAAGCACUUUAAGUUGGGAGGAAGGGCAGUAAGUUAAUACCUUGCUGUUUUGACGUUACCAACAGAAUAAGCACCGGCUAACUUCGUG
rnacentral:rRNA from 1 species